GCUGGUCUUGAGCCAGGGGGACAAUAAGAAAGGGCUAUGUUUUCCUGGUGAUGCGGUCUUCACAUAGAUAGGAAUUGCAGGGAGCUAAAGUAUCAUUGUAUGUAUUUAUGUUUAUUGAACAUUCAAUGUGAUGACUUUCUGUGACAUGUUCUGUUGUGUUUUUUAGUUGUCUUGAUGUUCCUUUCAGCUGAUCCUAUGGCCCUCAGGAAGGUUCAAAGACCACAGAGAGAGCCGCCCAUGGAUGCCCAGGCCACUCAGAAGUUGAAACAAAGUCAUCACCUGAGGACACCUCUCCUGCUCAGCAACACACUCUUAUAACACGUGGCAAUCCCUUCAAGAAACAGAGUCUUAAGAAUGGCAUCUAGAUUUUUUAAAAUUAGAGAGAGAGAGAGAGAGAGAGGCGGGGUUGAGGGAGAGAAACAGAUGGGCAGACACACAGAGAGAGACUUGGUGUCCCACUUAUGGAUGCAUUCAUUGGUUGAUUCUUGUAUGUACCCUGGCUGGGAUCGAACCCACAAUCUUAGCAUAUCAGGACCACACUCUAACAAACUGAGCUACCCAGCCAGAGCUCAUGCCAUCUAGAUUUUUCAUGAGCCAAAAACAUUUUCUUCCUCAUUUGUAUUCCUCGGCUUGAAUUUAAAUUUAAUGUGACAUUUAUUUUUUAAGUCUUCCUAGUAUAAAUUUGCUUAUGAACGCACCAAUUUUUAAAAUAGAAAUUGCACAAAUGUGUUAAUAUUUUAAGGAACAAUAAUGCUCUAGGUAGAUUGAUUUUUAGCCACACACAAAGUGUGACCUUAAGAGUGACCUAAAAUAUGUAAAGUACUCUUGAAAUAACAGCAGUGAGAGGCAAUCCAAAAGGUAAAAUAAUGGGGGGAAGUCAUAAAGCAACAUAGAAAUACCAUGUUAUCCUGCCUGACACCAACCAAGCAACCAUUCUUUUUAUUCAGCAAUCUAGGACCUGUGAGAUACAGUCACUGCUUCUAACCAGUAAAUUCAGUCAGACAGAAGGAUAUAAGCUUUUGAAAAGAAAAAUAACAACUCAGGUCAAUAGAUGGCAAGACCCAAACCCAACCCAAAACAAAUGAUUUAAACAAGGAACUCCGAGGAGGUCAGCAGAAGCAGGAUAAAACUAGUCUGUUCAGGGAAGAAAGCCCCCUAAAGAGAAAAUUAUGAAGUGAGUCUUAAAGGAUGUUAGAGAAUUAGAUAAAUGGAAAGAAAGGAGAAAAAGUGUCUUUUAGAUGCAUUACUGUGAGAGCACACGCACACGCACACGCACACGCACACGCAGCUGUCUCAUCCCAGGUGUUGCCUAGAAUUACAAUUGUAUUUCUUCACCAUUAAAGCAAUAGAGUGACUGGUAAUAGUAUGAGGGCCUGUGGUUAUUCUGUUAACCUAAUCAUAAUAGGUAUUUAUUGAAUUCUCACUAUAUGUUAAGCAUUUAUGUUAGCUCACUUACGCCUCACAGCAAUUCAGCAAAAGAGGUAUUAUUCCCAUUUUAUAGGUUAAGAAAACUGAGGUUUAAUGAGGUUAAGUAACUUGCUAAAUAGCCAAUACAGAGUUCACAUGCAGAAUUGCAAUUGCAAAACUCAUAGCCGAAGGCCGCGACUACCAGCCGUCGCACUGCCAGGAUGUGUAAACCAUGCAACACCUGACUAGCCAGUCAGGGCACUGCCCUCCUUCCCCUUAGAUUGUCAAGUUAAAAAAUGACAGCCAAAACAAUAGUAGCUGUCCAGCGUGAAUGAAUCAAAAUUAUACCUAUAUUUUUGUCAGAUUGGCAAAAAAUGUGAUCUAUUUUUGGUGUGUUGCAGAAUUUUAGUAAUUAGUUUAUGUGUGCCAUGAGAUGAAACAGGUUGAAAUCCCUGAUCUAAGGCCUGAAGUUGCAAUAUUGCAAUCAUUACAUUACUACUUGAUAUUUUUUGUGGUAAACAAAGAGCUAUUUCAUUUGAUUAUCCCUUCAAAUUUUUCAGAUUUCUGGUUAAGUUACACUAGAGUGAUAGAAUGUAUUUUCCUAAUAGAAAAUUGAAAUAAUUGGGGAAGAGAGCGUAUCAAUAUUUUAGGCUUUUUUUUUGUUCUUUUGCCAGACUUUGAUGAGAUUCUUCAAUUUUGUCUGCAUAGAGUCUCAAAUUCUUGAAAUGAAAAAAAUGGGUUAGUAAUGAUUAAAGGUCAGUUAAUGCUACGUCCUUUUCCACAGGUGCGAUAGAGGGGCUCAUGGAGACCAUACAUUUAGUUCCCCCAGGCUAAUCACAGGCUGAGCCACCUGCCCUGCCGAAACCAGUCAUGAACUUGAAUUUGAUUAGUGGAAACAGUUUAUCUCAGAGAUCUGGGAGCCUUGUACCUAGCAGAUUGUUUCAAUUUUUGCACCACCUCUUUGGCUUCCCAGGUUAAUGUGAAAAAUAGCUAGCUGUGAACUAACUAUCGUUUUUAGAUCCAGAAACUGCCAAUGGUCGCUGGCCAGUUUUCUCAAUGGUUAGAGCAUCAGCCCAUGGACCAAAGGGUCACAGUUUUGAUUCCUGGUCCAGGGCACCUUGGUAGCAGGUUCCCCAGUCCCAGUAUGGGUGCAAGCGGGAGGCAACCAAUCAAGGUAUCUCUCUCACGUUGAUGUUUCUCUCUCCCCCUCCUCUUACACUUCCAAUCUCUCUAUAAAUCAAUGGAAAAAAUAUCCUUGGGUGAAGAUUAAAAACCAAUCAUAUAAUGGCCCAAGUUAUUAUGUGCAAUAUAUUCAAUGAUAUUCUUAAGGUACUUGAAAUCGUAGUUCACCUAAACAAAUCCAAUCUUCUAAGUAUUUUCUUAAACAAUUUCGUGCACAGUAUGUAUUAAUAAGUGCUUCUGCAUGAAUAUUUACAUAUGACUUUCAAUAGUCCUUCAGUUUUUAAAAAUGUCAAUGGUUAUUUGCUAUUUUAAUCCUCACUUAUCCAUGUAUCAACUCAAGAAUACUUCAGCCAUAAAAAACCUAGAAUUAAGGAAAUUUCACUCUUCUUUACCAGUCCCUUUGCAUUUAGUUGGCAUUUAGUAAUGAUUAAUAAAAUGGUCAGCUGGCCCAGCCGGUGUUGCUCAGUGGUUGAGCAUCGACCAACAAACCAGGAGGUCAUGGUUCAAUUCCCAGUCAGGGCAUAUGCCUGUGUUGUGGGUUCAAUCUCCAGUGUGGGUCAUGCAGAAGGCAGCUGAUCCAUGAUUCUCUCUCAUCAUUGAUGUUUCUAUCUCUCUCCUUCUCCCUUCCUCUCAUUAAUCAAUAAAAAUACAUUUAGUAAAUAAAUAAAUAAAUAAAUAAAUAAAUAAAUAAAUAAAUAAAAUGGUCAGCCGGAUGACACAGACAUUCAAAACACAGUUGUGUCUUGAAGGAACCCGUGAAGUGGGGUCCACUUCAGCACCAGCAUCUCGCUUGGGACACCCAAUAAGAGAUGCUGCACAUCGUCUCUAAACACCUGGCAUUGUCAGACUUAGAGCUCCUCAUGGCUGAGCUCGGCCUAUUUUCCAAAUGGCUAUUGGCCUUAUUUCACCCAGUGCUCGUUUAAUGGGUUCAUAAAUAAGCAGGAUUUUUCAAAGUAGCCAAGCACAGAAUAUGAUUUUGUUGGCAUUUCAUGAGGCUUUGUUAUAUGUCCCUGGAACCCCCAAUAAAAAGAAUCUUGCAUUCACUGUGAA